rnacentral:rRNA from 1 species
UACGAAGGGGGCUAGCGUUGUUCGGAAUUACUGGGCGUAAAGCGUGCGCAGGCGGUUUUUUAAGCCAGACGUGAAAUCCCCGGGCUUAACCUGGGAACUGCGUUUGGAACUGGAAGACUAGAGUGUGUCAGAGGGAGGUGGAAUUCCACGUGUAGCAGUGAAAUGCGUAGAUAUGUGGAGGAACACCGAUGGCGAAGGCAGCCUCCUGGGAUAACACUGACGCUCAUGCACGAAAGCGUGGGGAGCAAACAGGAUUAGAUACCCUGGUAGUCCACGCCCUAAACGAUGUCAACUGGUUGUUGGGAGAGAAAUCUUUCAGUAACGAAGCUAACGCGUGAAGUUGACCGCCUGGGGAGUACGGCCGCAAGGUUGAA